UUUUUUACGGAGAGUUUGAUCCUGGCUCAGGACGAACGCUGGCGGCGUGCUUAACACAUGCAAGUCGAACGAUGAUGCCCAGCUUGCUGGGUGGAUUAGUGGCGAACGGGUGAGUAACACGUGAGUAACCUGCCCCUGACUCUGGGAUAAGCGUUGGAAACGACGUCUAAUACUGGAUAUGACUGCCGGCCGCAUGGUCUGGUGGUGGAAAGAUUUUUUGGUUGGGGAUGGACUCGCGGCCUAUCAGCUUGUUGGUGAGGUAAUGGCUCACCAAGGCGACGACGGGUAGCCGGCCUGAGAGGGUGACCGGCCACACUGGGACUGAGACACGGCCCAGACUCCUACGGGAGGCAGCAGUGGGGAAUAUUGCACAAUGGGCGAAAGCCUGAUGCAGCAACGCCGCGUGAGGGAUGACGGCCUUCGGGUUGUAAACCUCUUUUAGUAGGGAAGAAGGGAGCUUGCUCUUGACGGUACCUGCAGAAAAAGCACCGGCUAACUACGUGCCAGCAGCCGCGGUAAUACGUAGGGUGCAAGCGUUGUCCGGAAUUAUUGGGCGUAAAGAGCUCGUAGGCGGUUUGUCGCGUCUGCUGUGAAAUCCCGAGGCUCAACCUCGGGCUUGCAGUGGGUACGGGCAGACUAGAGUGCGGUAGGGGAGAUUGGAAUUCCUGGUGUAGCGGUGGAAUGCGCAGAUAUCAGGAGGAACACCGAUGGCGAAGGCAGAUCUCUGGGCCGUAACUGACGCUGAGGAGCGAAAGCAUGGGGAGCGAACAGGAUUAGAUACCCUGGUAGUCCAUGCCGUAAACGUUGGGCGCUAGAUGUAGGGACCUUUCCACGGUUUCUGUGUCGUAGCUAACGCAUUAAGCGCCCCGCCUGGGGAGUACGGCCGCAAGGCUAAAACUCAAAGGAAUUGACGGGGGCCCGCACAAGCGGCGGAGCAUGCGGAUUAAUUCGAUGCAACGCGAAGAACCUUACCAAGGCUUGACAUACACCGGAAACGGCCAGAGAUGGUCGCCCCCUUGUGGUCGGUGUACAGGUGGUGCAUGGUUGUCGUCAGCUCGUGUCGUGAGAUGUUGGGUUAAGUCCCGCAACGAGCGCAACCCUCGUUCUAUGUUGCCAGCGCGUUAUGGCGGGGACUCAUAGGAGACUGCCGGGGUCAACUCGGAGGAAGGUGGGGAUGACGUCAAAUCAUCAUGCCCCUUAUGUCUUGGGCUUCACGCAUGCUACAAUGGCCGGUACAAAGGGCUGCGAUACCGUAAGGUGGAGCGAAUCCCAAAAAGCCGGUCUCAGUUCGGAUUGAGGUCUGCAACUCGACCUCAUGAAGUCGGAGUCGCUAGUAAUCGCAGAUCAGCAACGCUGCGGUGAAUACGUUCCCGGGCCUUGUACACACCGCCCGUCAAGUCAUGAAAGUCGGUAACACCCGAAGCCGGUGGCCUAACCCUUGUGGAAGGAGCCGUCGAAGGUGGGAUCGGUGAUUAGGACUAAGUCGUAACAAGGUAGCCGUACCGGAAGGUGCGGCUGGAUCACCUCCUUUCU
rnacentral:rRNA from 1 species